UACGGAAGGCAGCAGUGGGGAAUAUUGCACAAUGGGCGCAAGCCUGAUGCAGCCAUGCCGCGUGUAUGAAGAAGGCCUUCGGGUUGUAAAGUACUUUCAGUCGUGAGGAAGGUGUUAAGGUUAAUAACCUUAGCAAUUGACGUUAGCGACAGAAGAAGCACCGGCUAACUCCGUGCCAGCAGCCGCGGUAAUACGGAGGGUGCGAGCGUUAAUCGGAAUUACUGGGCGUAAAGGGCACGCAGGCGGUUAAUUAAGUUGGAUGUGAAAUCCCCGGGCUUAACCUGGGAAUGGCAUUCAAGACUGGUUAGCUAGAGUCUUGUAGAGGGGGUAGAAUUCCAUGUGUAGCGGUGAAAUGCGUAGAGAUGUGGAGGAAUACCGGUGGCGAAGGCGACCCCUGGACAAAGACUGACGCUCAUGUGCGAAAGCGUGGGGAGCAAACAGGGAUUAGAUACC
rnacentral:rRNA from 1 species